AAACCAACAGGGAUUGCCUCAGUAACGGCGAGUGAAGCGGCAACAGCUCAAAUUUGAAAUCUGGCCGCAAGGUCCGAGUUGUAAUUUGUAGAGGAUGCUUUUGGCGAGGUGACUUCCGAGUUCCCUGGAACGGGACGCCAUAGAGGGUGAGAGCCCCGUACGGUAGUGACACCGAGCCUCUGUAAAGCUCCUUCGACGAGUCGAGUAGUUUGGGAAUGCUGCUCUAAAUGGGAGGUGUAAGUCUUCUAAAGCUAAAUACCGGCCAGAGACCGAUAGCGCACAAGUAGAGUGAUCGAAAGAUGAAAAGCACUUUGAAAAGAGAGUUAAAAAGUACGUGAAAUUGUUGAAAGGGAAGCAUUUAUGACCAGACUUGGGCUUGGUUGAACAUCCGGCGUUCUCGCCGGUGCACUCUGCCAGCCUAGGCCAGCAUCAGUUCACGCCGGGGGAUAAAGGUAGCGGGAAUGUGACUCCCUCCGGGGAGUGUUAUAGCCCGUUGCGCAAUGCCCUGGGGUGGACUGAGGAACGCGCUUCGGCACGGAUGCUGGCGUAAUGGUCAUCAAUGAC
rnacentral:rRNA from 1 species